ACGGAUGUGUGAUGGACUCCAUUG
rnacentral:rRNA from 1 species